rnacentral:rRNA from 1 species
UACGGGGGGAGCAAGCGUUGUUCGGAUUUACUGGGCGUAAAGGGCGCGUAGGCGGCCUGUGCAAGUCAGUUGUGAAAUCUCCGAGCUUAACUCGGAACGGUCAACUGAUACUGCUCGGCUAGAGUGCAGAAGGGGCAACUGGAAUUCUUGGUGUAGCGGUGAAAUGCGUAGAUAUCAAGAGGAACACCUGCGGCGAAGGCGGGUUGCUGGGCUGACACUGACGCUGAGGCGCGAAAGCUAGGGGAGCGAACGGG